ACGCCAACAUGAUAUAAUUCUGAGGCAUCAUUCUCUAGAGGCCAAAUAAGAUGGGUACUUGCAUUAGAUGCAAAUGAGUAAGCGUACUCUCUCAUUAUUAUUAACGCUAGCCAACAUGAUAUAAUUCUGAGGUGGGCUUGGUAAUAGUGAGCCUCCCAUACCCUACUAAGAGUUUCAUCCAAAACUCUCGAAUUCCAAUGAGGGAUAUGGAAUUUGCCAAAAAUAGUGGGUGGUGCUAUUUGAUUUAAAGACCCGAAUCAAAUGGCUUAAAAUCAAUCAAUUUAUAUUCGUUAUGUAUUUUGUUUACCAAUAUAUUUGCAAACGCUAUCCAAAACUUGACAAAGAAAAGCCGAAUGCUUUAGUUUCCGGACUUGGUAACACAAUCCCAAAGAUUGUCUUAAAUGGAUUGUAUAUGUACCUAAGUAGUCUCAUCCUCAACAAUCUUCCUAUUGAUAAUGUAUCAUUGGAAAGAACAUGUUAGAUAAGUCUAUCAUGAAGAGGCCAACACAAACAACCAAUGCUUAAUCCUUUGUUAAAUGAACAAAGGAACUUACGAAGAUUAGCAUAAUGACAAGGACACUUUUAGUGUUAUUAAGUUCUUCACUUACAAAUCGUUGUAUGAAGAAAUAAUAGUUGCUUUGAACAACCCUUAGUCAAUGCAAACAC
rnacentral:lncRNA from 1 species